AUUGAACGCUGGCGGCAGGCCUAACACAUGCAAGUCGAACGAGUGGCGGACGGGUGAGUAAUGUCUGGGAACCUGCCCGCUGGCGGGGGAUACCUACUGGAAACGGUAGCUAAUACCGCAUACCAUCGGAUGUGCCCAGAUGGGAUUAGCUAGUAGGUGGGGUAACGGCUCACCAAGGCGACGAUCCCUAGCUGGUCUGAGAGGAUGACCAGCCACACUGGAACUGAGACACGGCCCAGACUCCUACGGGAGGCAGCAGUGGGGAAUAUUGGACAAUGGGCGCAAGCCUGAUGCAGCCAUGCCGCGUGUAUGAAGAAGGCCUUCGGGUUGUAAAGUACUUUCAGCGAGGAGGCGUUACUCGCAGAAGAAGCACCGGCUAACUCCGUGCCAGCAGCCGCGGUAAUUC
rnacentral:rRNA from 1 species